rnacentral:rRNA from 1 species
GUUGUAUGGUUAAGUGACUAAGCGUACACGGUGGAUGCCUUGGCAGUCAGAGGCGAUGAAAGGCGUAAUAACUUGCGAUAAGCCCAGAUUAGGUAGUAAUAACCUUUUGAGUCUGGGAUUUCUGAAUGGGGAAACCCACGUGCAUAAGCACGUAUCCUGUUGUGAAUACAUAGCAACAGGAGGCAAACCGGGGGAACUGAAACAUCUAAGUACCCCGAGGAAGAGAAAUCAACCGAGAUUCCGAAAGUAGCGGCGAGCGAAAUUGGAUUAGCCCUUAAGCUUUUAAUGAUGCAGGUGAAGCCUCUGGAAAGUGGCGCAGUAAAGGGUGAUAGCCCCGUAACCGACACAUCAUCAUCAGUGAAAUCGAGUAAGGCGGGACACGUGAUAUCCUGUCUGAAUAUGGGGGGACCAUCCUCCAAGGCUAAAUACUACUGACUGACCGAUAGUGAACCAGUACCGUGAGGGAAAGGCGAAAAGAACCCCUGUGAGGGGAGUGAAAUAGAACCUGAAACCGUGUACGUACAAGCAGUAGGAGCACCUUCGUGGUGUGACUGCGUACCUUUUGUAUAAUGGGUCAGCGACUUAAUUUUAGUAGCAAGGUUAACCGUUUAGGGGAGCCGUAGGGAAACCGAGUCUUAACUGGGCGUACAGUUGCUAGGAUUAGACCCGAAACCAGGUGAUCUAGCCAUGGGCAGGUUGAAGGUUGAGUAACAUCAACUGGAGGACCGAACCGACUAAUGUUGAAAAAUUAGCGGAUGACUUGUGGCUAGGGGUGAAAGGCCAAUCAAACUCGGAGAUAGCUGGUUCUCCCCGAAAGCUAUUUAGGUAGCGCCUCGGACGAAUACUACUGGGGGUAGAGCACUGUUAAGGCUAGGGGGUCAUCCCGACUUACCAACCCUUUGCAAACUCCGAAUACCAGUAAGUACUAUCCGGGAGACACACGGCGGGUGCUAACGUCCGUCGUGGAGAGGGAAACAACCCAGACCGCCAGCUAAGGUCCCAAAGUACUACUAAGUGGGAAACGAUGUGGGAAGGCUCAGACAGCCAGGAUGUUGGCUUAGAAGCAGCCAUCAUUUAAAGAAAGCGUAAUAGCUCACUGGUCGAGUCGGCCUGCGCGGAAGAUGUAACGGGGCUAAGUAGUAAACCGAAGCUGCGGCAAUAUCCUUUGGAUAUUGGGUAGGGGAGCGUUCUGUAAGCCGUUGAAGGUGGUCUGUAAGGGCUGCUGGAGGUAUCAGAAGUGCGAAUGCUGACAUGAGUAACGAUAAAGGGAGUGAAAAACUCCCUCGCCGGAAGACCAAGGGUUCCUGUCCAACGUUAAUCGGGGCAGGGUAAGUCGACUCCUAAGGCGAGGCCGAAAGGCGUAGUCGAUGGGAAACGGGUUAAUAUUCCCGUACUUCUUACAAUUGCGAUGGGGGGACGGAGAAGGCUAGGUGGGCCUGGCGACGGUUGUCCAGGUUCAAGUACGUAGGCGGAAAGUUUAGGUAAAUCCGGACUUUCAUAACGCUGAGAUACGAUGUCGAGCACCUACGGGUGUGAAGUCAUUGAUGCCAUGCUUCCAGGAAAAGCCUCUAAGCUUCAGAUUGUAAGGAAUCGUACCCCAAACCGACACAGGUGGUCGGGUAGAGAAUACCAAGGCGCUUGAGAGAACUCGGGUGAAGGAACUAGGCAAAAUGGUACCGUAACUUCGGGAGAAGGUACGCUCUUAUCAGUGAAGUCCCUUGCGGAUGGAGCAGACGAGAGUCGCAGAUACCAGGUGGCUGCAACUGUUUAUUAAAAACACAGCACUGUGCAAAAUCGUAAGAUGACGUAUACGGUGUGACGCCUGCCCGGUGCCGGAAGGUUAAUUGAUGGGGUUAGACUUCGGUCGAAGCUCUUGAUCGAAGCCCCGGUAAACGGCGGCCGUAACUAUAACGGUCCUAAGGUAGCGAAAUUCCUUGUCGGGUAAGUUCCGACCUGCACGAAUGG